ACAACCAGCGACUGCUCCAGCUCCUGCCUGCGCUGCUGGAUCUGUAGAGAAAUAAGUGCAGGAGCAGGGUUAUGGUCUUGCUGUGCUCCCUGAGUCCCCUUCACCUUGAGGUCCCGGCUCUGGGAGCGGAGCAGGUCUUGGAUAUAGCCUUUGGGGUCUCUGGAGAAGCUUAGCA